rnacentral:rRNA from 1 species
AAUAUACUGAAGGUAUAUUAUCCAUCGAUAAGAUGAGAAGCAAACCGCUGAACUGAAACAUCUAAGUAGGCGGAGGAGGAGAAAAUAACUAAUGAUUCCGUAAGUAGUGGCGAGCGAACGCGGAACAGCCCAAACCAUAGUUGUUACGGCAACUGUGGGGUUGUAGGACUACGAUGUGGACUUAUAAAUUAUAGUGGAACAGGUUUGGAAAGGCCGAUCAAAGAGGGUGAUAAUCCCGUACACGACAUAGUUUAUAUACCUAGUAGUAUCCUGAGUACUGCGGGGUCGGAGACGCCCUGUAGGAAUUUUGCCGGCACCAUCCGGUAAGGCUAAAUACUCCCAAGAGACCGAUAGUGGACUAGUACUGUGAAGGAAAGGUGAAAAGAACCGUGAACAACGGAGUGAAAUAGAACCUGAAACCAUGCGCUUACAAGCGGUCGGAGCCCUUAAGUGGGGUGACGGCGUGCCUUUUGUAUAAUGAGCCUACGAGUUACUCUUCAUUGGCAAGGUUAAGGACUUCAGGUCC